UACGAAGGGGGCUAGCGUUGCUCGGAAUCACUGGGCGUAAAGGGUGCGUAGGCGGGUCUUUAAGUCAGGGGUGAAAUCCUGGAGCUCAACUCCAGAACUGCCUUUGAAUACUGGAAGAUACUUGAGUUCGGGAGAGGUGAGUGGAACUGCGAGUGUAGAGGUGAAAUUCGUAGAUAUUCGCAAAGAACACCAGUGGCGAAGGCGGCUCACUGGCCCGAUACUGAACGCUGAGG
rnacentral:rRNA from 1 species